rnacentral:rRNA from 1 species
AACGAACGCUGGCGGCAUGCCUAAUACAUGCAAGUCGAACGAGACCUUCGGGUCUAGUGGCGCACGGGUGCGUAACGCGUGGGAAUCUGCCCUUGGGUUCGGAAUAACGUCGGGAAACUGACGCUAAUACCGGAUGAUGACGUAAGUCCAAAGAUUUAUCGCCCAAGGAUGAGCCCGCGUAGGAUUAGCUAGUUGGUGGGGUAAGGGCCCACCAAGGCGAGGAUCCUUAGCUGGUCUGAGAGGAUGAUCAGCCACACUGGGACUGAGACACGGCCCAGACUCCUACGGGAGGCAGCAGUAGGGAAUAUUGGACAGUGGGGGCAACCCUGAUCCAGCAAUGCCGCGUGAGUGAUGAAGGCCUUAGGGUUGUAAAGCUCUUUUACCCGGGAUGAUAAUGACAGUACCGGGAGAAUAAGCCCCGGCUAACUCCGUGCCAGCCGCCGCAGUAAGAC